GGCCAUGUUGGUUAACAGAUCCUCAUCUGCUGGACGUCUGGCGAUGAUCUUUAUCGGUUGUCGUCAGUUGCCAGCACGUUUACUUUGAGAAAAUUAGAGUGCUAAAAGCAGGCUCACGCCUAUAUAUAUUGCAUGGAAUAAUGAAAUAAGACCUCGAUUUUAUUUCGUUGGUUUUAGAAAUUGAGAUAAUGAUUAAUAGGAUCAGAGGGGGGCGUACGUACUGUGGUGUGAGAGGUGAAAUUCUUGGAUCGCCACAGGACGAACAGCAGCGAAGGCGUUCGCCAAGAAUGUUUUCAUUAAUCAAGAACGAAAGUUUGAGGUUCGAAGACGAUUAGAUACCGUCCUAGUUCAAACCAUAAACGUUGCCAACUGUCUUUUAGAUGCGGUUAUUUAUAUGACUCAUCUGGCGGAUCUCGAGAAAUCUAAGUUUUUAGGUUCCGGGGGAAGUAUGGUUGCAAAGCUGAAACUUAAAAGAAUUGACGGAAGGACACACAAGAAGUGGAGCCUGUGGCCUAAUUUGACUCAACACGGGAAACCUUACUCGGCCAGGACACUUUUAGGAUUGACAGAUUGAGAGCUCUUUCUUGAUUAGGUGGGUGGUGGUGCAUGGUCGUUCGUAGUUCGUGGAGCGAUUUGUCUGAUUAAUUUCGAUAACGAACGAGACUCCGGCUUACUAAAUAGUCUAAAGUUCGAAGGGACUUUUCAAGACUUCUUAGCAGGAUAAGUGG
rnacentral:rRNA from 1 species